rnacentral:rRNA from 1 species
GAUGAACGCUGGCGGCGUGCCUAAUACAUGCAAGUCGAGCGAACAGACGAGGAGCUUGCUCCUCUGACGUUAGCGGCGGACGGGUGAGUAACACGUGGAUAACCUACCUAUAAGACUGGGAUAACUUCGGGAAACCGGAGCUAAUACCGGAUAAUAUAUUGAACCGCAUGGUUCAAUAGUGAAAUACGGUUUUGCUGUCACUUAUAGAUGGAUCCGCGCCGCAGUAGCUAGUUGGUAAGGUAACGGCUUACCAAGGCAACGAUGCGUAGCCGACCUGAGAGGGUGAUCGGUCACACUGGAACGGAGACACGGUCCAGACUCCUACGGGAGGCAGCAGUAGGGAAUCGUCCGCAAUGGGCGAAAGCCUGACGGAGCAACGCCGCGUGAGUGAUGAAGGUCUUCGGAUCGUAAAACUCUGUUAUUAGGGAAGAACAAAUGUGUAAGUAACUAUGCACGUCUUGACGGUACCUAAUCAGAAAGCCACGGCUAACUACGUG